rnacentral:ncRNA from 1 species
AGAGCCGUAUGAAGCGAGAGUUUCACGUACGGUUCUGUGAGAGGCUGGAAGUGGAAGUGC